rnacentral:rRNA from 1 species
GACGAACGCUGGCGGCGUGCUUAACACAUGCAAGUCGAACGGUGAAGCGCGUGCCUUUUUGGUGGGUGUGGAUGAGUGGCGAACGGGGGAGUAACACGUUAGUAACCUGCCCUCUUCUGCUGGAUAACCUCAUGAAAGUGGGGCUAAUACGGGGCAUUCCGGGUCUGUCGCCUUGCGGGUUUGGGAAGGAUUGCGCCUUCGGGAGUUUUCGGCGGGGGUUGGGCUGGGAGCCUAUCAGCUUGUUGGUGGGGUGAGGGCCGACCCAGGAGGUGACGGGUAGCCGGCCUGGGAGGCUGGACGGCCACACUGGGACGGAGACACGGCCCACACUGCGGCGGGGGGGAGCAGUGGGGAAGAUUGCAGAGUGGGCGCAAGCCUGAUGCAGCGGCGCCGCGUGAGGGAUGGAGGCCUUCGGGUUGUGAACCUCUUUCGCCAGUGAGGCAGGCCUGCUCCUGCGUGGGUGGGUUGACGGUAGCUGGACAAGAAGCGCCGGCUAACUACGUG